GGAUCAUUACUGUAUCUGGCGGUAGCAAAUGUCUCGCUCUUUGCAGCCGCCUCGAGAUAGAACCCCAUACCUUGCACACCUCUUGUUUUCCUCGGCAGGCCCAUCCGCCUGCCAGUAGUUGGCACGCCCGCCCUGCCAGCUGGGGGACCCUUAUCUUAAACACUAUCAAAAGCAGAAACCGUACCCAAAACCUUAAUACUUUUAAAAACUUUCAACAACGGAUCUCUUGGUUCUGGCAUCGAUGAAGAACGCAGCGAAAUGCGAUAAGUAGUGUGAAUUGCAGAAUUCAGUGAAUCAUCGAAUCUUUGAACGCACAUUGCGCCCUUUGGUAUUCCUUAGGGCAUGCCUGUUCGAGCGUCAUUAAAUCCUUCGAGCACUGCUUGAUGUUGGGUGCUUUGUCCCCGCCCCUGGGUAGGGACUCGCCCUAAAACCAUUGGCGGCCCGUGUAUUGGCUUUGAGCGCAGCACAAUCGCGACCCUCGAUCCAGUAUACCGGCGUCCAAGAAGCUGAAAACAAACCCUCUUUUGACCUCGGAUCAGGUAGGGAUACCCGCUGAACUUAAGCAUAUCAAUAAGCGGAGGAAAAGAAACCAACGGGGAUUGCCCUAGUAACGGCGAGUGAAGCGGCAACAGCUCAAAUUUGAAAUCUGGCCCUCUGGGCCCGAGUUGUAAUUUGUAGAGGGCGCUUUGGUGUUGGCCCCGGCCUAAGUUCCUUGGAACAGGACGUCACAGAGGGUGAGAACCCCGUACGUGGCCGGCGGCCUUCGCUGUGUAAAGCCCCUUCGACGAGUCGAGUUGUUUGGGAAUGCAGCUCUAAAUGGGAGGUAAAUUUCUUCUAAAGCUAAAUACUGGCCAGAGACCGAUAGCGCACAAGUAGAGUGAUCGAAAGAUGAAAAGCACUUUGGAAAGAGAGUCAAAAAGCACGUGAAAUUGUUGAAAGGGAAGCGCUUGCAGCCAGACUUGCCUGUAGUUGCUCACCUGGGCUCUUGCCCAGCGCACUCUUCUGCGGGCAGGCCAGCAUCAGUUCAAGCGGUCGGACAAAAGCCCUAGGAAUGUGGCUCCUUCCGGGGAGUGUUAUAGCCUAGGGCAUAAUGCGGCCAGCUUGGACUGAGGUCCGCGCA
rnacentral:rRNA from 1 species